AGCAAAAUGAGGAGGUUUUAUGACCUGAAGUAUCUGAUGUUGAUACAUACAUGGUCUUCAAAGUUCUCUGAUGCU
rfam:Setaria italica strain Yugu1 chromosome III, whole genome shotgun sequence.